rnacentral:rRNA from 1 species
GAUGAACGCUGGCGGCGUGCCUAAUACAUGCAAGUCGAGCGAACGGACGAGAAGCUUGCUUCUCUGAUGUUAGCGGCGGACGGGUGAGUAACACGUGGAUAACCUACCUAUAAGACUGGGAUAACUUCGGGAAACCGGAGCUAAUACCGGAUAAUAUUUUGAACCGCAUGGUUCAAAAGUGAAAGACGGCCUUGCUGUCACUUAUAGAUGGAUCCGCGCUGCAUUAGCUAGUUGGUAAGGUAACGGCUUACCAAGGCAACGAUGCAUAGCCGACCUGAGAGGGUGAUCAGCCACACUGGAACUGAGACACGAUCCAGACUCCUACGGGAGGCAGCAGUAGGGAAUCUUCCGCAAUGGGCGAAAGCCUGACGGAGCCACGCCGCGUGAGUGAUGAAGGUCUUCGGAUCGUAAAACUCUGUUAUUAGGGAAGAACAUAUGUGUAAGUAACUGUGCACAUCUUGACGGUACCUAAUCAGAAAGCCACGGCUAACUACGUG